rnacentral:lncRNA from 1 species
AAAAGAUAAAAUUCAAGAAAAAUAUAAAAUCAAGAAAAUAAAAUGUUGAAAAAUAAAAAUCAGAUGAAGAAAAAAUAAAAGAGAAUUUUAGAAAUUAUUUUGGUAUUUUUUGGAUAUAAAAUGAAUUUUCUAUGAAUUUUAAAAGAAAAUACAAUUGAAAAUAAAAAAAAUCAGAAAAAACACAAAGCGUUGGAUCUGACUUCAUUAAUUGACGUGGC